AGGGCCGUGAUGGGAAGCUAGUUGGAGGGUUUUAAGCAGAGGAGUGACCUAACUGAUCUGAUUUACAUGCUAGAAGGAUCUCUCAGGCUGCCAUGUGGAGGAGGAACAGCAGAGGCGAUAGAGUGGAGGUGCUCUGGAACAGGUGCCACAAGGAGAGUUAAGUUUAACUGGAGUUGGGGUCUUGCCAGGAGGUCAAGGAGGUGUUGGAUGUGAAGUCACCAAGAAUGAUAAGUGUAGAAGUGGAGAGAAAGUCAGCGAGCCAGGGGCUGAGAUGGGCCACGAACCAGAGGGAAUCACCAGGAUAUCUUACUGUAUCUCAGACUCAGCAUGUCAAAGUGAUUGAUGUCUCCCUCAAACCUGCUCCUCCACUGGGUAAAUGGCACCACCACCCAGAGCCAGAAACCUGGGUGUCUCUCCACUGGUUCCCCACACCCAAUCAAGUCACCAAAGCUUUCCGAUCCUAUCUCGUAAACAUUUCUUCAAUCCAGCUACUUCUUUCCAUCCCCACUGCUCACACCCUACUUUGGGCCAUUGUUGUUUGUCACUUGGACUAUUGUGUCAGAUUCCAGACAGGCAGCCCUGCCUUGGCCCCUCCACAUUGUAGCCAGAGACACUGCAAAUUAGAUCAUGUCAUUUCUGUGCUAAGUCUCUUCAUUGUCCUUAGGAUAAAGUCCAAAAUCACGAACAUGGCUUUACAAAGAAAUCACUCCUGGAUCCGGCCUCUGUCUAUUGCAGCCUAACUCCUACCACGAGCCCCCUCGCCUGGCUCAAGCCCUCCUGGGUCACUUCCCGUCCUUGUCAUCAGAUUUACUCUCCUUUCUGGGCCUUUCAUGUCCUGUCCCCUCUGCCUGG